GGUCCUGUGGUCUAGUGGUUAGGACACAUGACUCUGAAUCAUGUAACCCGAGUCUCGGCAGGACCU
rnacentral:tRNA from 1 species